CUCUAAGAUUGCACAUGACAUGUCAUAUAAUAUAUAUUAUAUGACAUGUCAUGUGCAAUCUUAGAG